rnacentral:rRNA from 1 species
GGACCGAGCAACGCCGCGUGAGCGAUGAAGGCCUUCGGGUCGUAAAGCUCUGUUGUUAGAGAAGAACAAGUACGAGAGUAACUGCUCGUACCUUGACGGUACCUAACCAGAAAGCCACGGCUAACUACGUGCCAGCAGCCGCGGUAAUACGUAGGUGGCAAGCGUUAUCCGGAAUUAUUGGGCGUAAAGCGCGCGCAGGCGGUCUCUUAAGUCUGAUGUGAAAGCCCACGGCUCAACCGUGGAGGGUCAUUGGAAACUGGGAGACUUGAGUGCAGGAGAGAAAAGUGGAAUUCCACGUGUAGCGGUGAAAUGCGUAGAGAUGUGGAGGAACACCAGUGGCGAAGGCGGCUUUUUGGCCUGUAACUGACGCUGAGGCGCGAAAGCGUGGGGAGCAAACAGGAUUAGAUACCCUGGUAGUCCACGCCGUAAACGAUGAGUGCUAGGUGUUGGGGGGUUCCACCCUCAGUGCUGAAGUUAACACAUUAAGCACUCCGCCUGGGGAGUACGACCGCAAGGUUGAAACUCAAAGGAAUUGACGGGGGCCCGCACAAGCAGUGGAGCAUGUGGUUUAAUUCGAAGCAACGCGAAGAACCUUACCAGGUCUUGACAUCCUCUGACCACUCUAGAGAUAGAGCUUUCCCCUUCGGGGGACAGAGUGACAGGUGGUGCAUGGUUGUCGUCAGCUCGUGUCGUGAGAUGUUGGGUUAAGUCCCGCAACGAGCGCAACCCUUGACCUUAGUUGCCAGCAUUCAGUUGGGCACUCUAAGGUGACUGCCGGUGACAAACCGGAGGAAGGUGGGGAUGACGUCAAAUCAUCAUGCCCCUUA